UACGUAGGUGGCAAGCGUUUGUCCGGAUUUACUGGGCGUAAAGAGCGCGCAGGCGGUCGUCCAAGUCGCGUGUGAAAGCCCCCGGCUCAACUGGGGAGGGUCACGCGAUACUGAUCGACUCGAAGGCAGGAGAGGGUAGUGGAAUUCCCGGUGUAGUGGUGAAAUGCGUAGAUAUCGGGAGGAACACCAGUGGCGAAGGCGACUACCUGGCCUGUUCUUGACGCUGAGGCGCGAAAGCUAGGGGAGCAAACGGG
rnacentral:rRNA from 1 species